rnacentral:lncRNA from 1 species
CUCAGCUGGAGGAGCUGCUGCCCCCAAAGCAGAACUCCGGCUGUCCAUCUCAGGACGCGUGCCUCGCUGAAAUGAGCCGAGGUGUAGAGUACCCAGGAACCGAUUUACAUUUGUCUCACCUUAUUUUCUGGUUACUUUUAGGACCGUUAAGAUCCCAGAUUCUGCAGAUGGGCUUGGUUUCCAGAUCAGAGGCUUUGGUCCUUCAGUUGUACAUGCUGUGGGAAGAGGUGAGACGUCCUUUGUCACUGCGUGGGAAGUGCUUCAGCCACUCAGCCCUUGCUUUAGUCCUUUGGCCUGUCCCCUAUCCCUGUCCUCAAAGUGCUAGCAAUGGUUCCCUUUCACUGACAUAACUCUCGCAAAGGAUAUUCUGGAAAUAAUACAUCAAAAUAAAACCUCAAAACUUCAACUUGUGUGCCCUGGCAUACUUCUACAUGUCUAGCACUUAGGAAAGCCAAGGCAGGAAGGACUGAUUCAAAUUCAAGGCUAGCUCAGGCAAGAGUGAGACCUUUCUCAAAAACAAAACGAAACAAAA